rnacentral:lncRNA from 1 species
GUGGAAUUCUCUGGGCAGUUAGGAGGUAAGACAUGGCAAAAGAAGAAGUGGAAGAAGGAGGAAUCAAGAGGCAAGAAACCAGGAUGGGGACACCUUUCAGGAUAGCUUGGCUUGAGUUGGAGAAGAUAUUCACAAUGCGUGUAACAGACAACAGAGUUGGAUCUAAGACAUAUGAAGAAUCCAUUCAAGAAGCUGUCACUCUGAUUUUCUGUAGACGCUCGUCCUGGCAUGUUCUCCGGUUGCUCUCCCCGUUCCCCGAGGCCAGCCAAGAAGCCCUGAGCAUAUGCACUGACUGCAUCCCUAUACUUCUUCUCUGGUAACGUCAAAUGUAUACAGCAGUCAUCCGCC